rnacentral:rRNA from 1 species
ACACACGGCGGGUGCUAACGUCCGUCGUGAAGAGGGAAACAACCCAGACCGCCAGCUAAGGUCCCAAAGUCAUGGUUAAGUGGGAAACGAUGUGGGAAGGCCCAGACAGCCAGGAUGUUGGCUUAGAAGCAGCCAUCAUUUAAAGAAAGCGUAAUAGCUCACUGGUCGAGUCGGCCUGCGCGGAAGAUGUAACGGGGCUAAACCAUGCACCGAAGCUGCGGCAGCGACGCUUAUGCGUUGUUGGGUAGGGGAGCGUUCUGUAAGCCUGUGAAGGUGUGCUGUGAGGCAUGCUGGAGGUAUCAGAAGUGCGAAUGCUGACAUAAGUAACGAUAAAGCGGGUGAAAAGCCCGCUCGCCGGAAGACCAAGGGUUCCUGUCCAACGUUAAUCGGGGCAGGGUGAGUCGACCCCUAAGGCGAGGCCGAAAGGCGUAGUCGAUGGGAAACAGGUUAAUAUUCCUGUACUUGGUGUUACUGCGAAGGGGGGACGGAGAAGGCUAUGUUGGCCGGGCGACGGUUGUCCCGGUUUAAGCGUGUAGGCUGGUUUUCCAGGCAAAUCCGGAAAAUCAAGGCUGAGGCGUGAUGACGAGGCACUACGGUGCUGAAGCAACAAAUGCCCUGCUUCCAGGAAAAGCCUCUAAGCAUCAGGUAACAUCAAAUCGUACCCCAAACCGACACAGGUGGUCAGGUAGAGAAUACCAAGGCGCUUGAGAGAACUCGGGUGAAGGAACUAGGCAAAAUGGUGCCGUAACUUCGGGAGAAGGCACGCUGAUAUGUAGGUGAAGUCCCUCGCGGAUGGAGCUGAAAUCAGUCGAAGAUACCAGCUGGCUGCAACUGUUUAUUAAAAACACAGCACUGUGCAAACACGAAAGUGGACGUAUACGGUGUGACGCCUGCCCGGUGCCGGAAGGUUAAUUGAUGGGGUCAGCGCAAGCGAAGCUCUUGAUCGAAGCCCCGGUAAACGGCGGCCGUAACUAUAACGGUCCUAAGGUAGCGAAAUUCCUUGUCGGGUAAGUUCCGACCUGCACGAAUGGCGUAAUGAUGGCCAGGCUGUCUCCACCCGAGACUCAGUGAAAUUGAACUCGCUGUGAAGAUGCAGUGUACCCGCGGCAAGACGGAAAGACCCCGUGAACCUUUACUAUAGCUUGACACUGAACAUUGAGCCUUGAUGUGUAGGAUAGGUGGGAGGCUUAGAAGUGUGGACGCCAGUCUGCAUGGAGCCGACCUUGAAAUACCACCCUUUAAUGUUUGAUGUUCUAACGUUGACCCGUAAUCCGGGUUGCGGACAGUGUCUGGUGGGUAGUUUGACUGGGGCGGUCUCCUCCUAAAGAGUAACGGAGGAGCACGAAGGUUGGCUAAUCCUGGUCGGACAUCAGGAGGUUAGUGCAAUGGCAUAAGCCAGCUUGACUGCGAGCGUGACGGCGCGAGCAGGUGCGAAAGCAGGUCAUAGUGAUCCGGUGGUUCUGAAUGGAAGGGCCAUCGCUCAACGGAUAAAAGGUACUCCGGGGAUAACAGGCUGAUACCGCCCAAGAGUUCAUAUCGACGGCGGUGUUUGGCACCUCGAUGUCGGCUCAUCACAUCCUGGGGCUGAAGUAGGUCCCAAGGGUAUGGCUGUUCGCCAUUUAAAGUGGUACGCGAGCUGGGUUUAGAACGUCGUGAGACAGUUCGGUCCCUAUCUGCCGUGGGCGCUGGAGAACUGAGGGGGGCUGCUCCUAGUACGAGAGGACCGGAGUGGACGCAUCACUGGUGUUCGGGUUGUCAUGCCAAUGGCACUGCCCGGUAGCUAAAUGCGGAAGAGAUAAGUGCUGAAAGCAUCUAAGCACGAAACUUGCCCCGAGAUGAGUUCUCCCUGACUCCUUGAGAGUCCUGAAGGAACGUUGAAGACGACGACGUUGAUAGGCCGGGUGUGUAAGCGCAGCGAUGCGUUGAGCUAACCGGUACUAAUGAACCGUGAGGCUUAACCUUACAACGCCGAAGCUGUU